rfam:Ruminococcus sp. CAG:330, WGS project CBIH01000000 data, contig: 215
AAGCGAUGAUAUCAAGGGGCGUGCCAAGAGCGUUGCUUGGUUGAGCUUGCGGGAGGGGUUGCACAGUGAAACCUCGACUUGGCGUAGGCGUUUUGCCGAAAGAAAAUGUGAAUG